rnacentral:rRNA from 1 species
CGGCCUACGGGGCGCAGCAGUGGGGAAUAUUGCACAAUGGGGGAAAGCCUGAUGCAGCGACGCCGCGUGAGUGAGGAAGUAUUUCGGUAUGUAAAGCUCUAUCAGCAGGGAAGAAAAUGACGGUACCUGACUAAGAAGCCCCGGCUAACUACGUGCCAGCAGCCGCGGUAAUACGUAGGGGGCAAGCGUUAUCCGGAGUUACUGGGUGUAAAGGGAGCGUAGACGGAGGAG